AUGAACGCUGGCGGCGUGCCUCAUACAUGCAAGUCGAGCGAACGGACGAGAAGCUUGCUUCUCUGAUGUUAGCGGCGGACGGGUGAGUAACACGUGGAUAACCUACCUAUAAGACUGGGAUAACUUCGGGAAACCGUAGCUAAUACCGGAUAAUAUUUUGAACCGCAUGGUUCAAAAGUGAAAGACGGUCUUGCUGUCACUUAUAGAUGGAUCCGCGCUGCAUUAGCUAGUUGGUAAGGUAACGGCUUACCAAGGCAACGAUGCAUAGCCGACCUGAGAGGGUGAUCGGCCACACUGGAACUGAGACACGGUCCAGACUCCUUCGGGAGGCAGCAGUAGGGAAUCUUCCGCAAUGGGCGAAAGCCUGACGGAGCAACGCCGCGUGAGUGAUGAAGGUCUUCGGAUCGUAAAACUCUGUUAUUAGGGAAGAACAUAUGUGUAAGUAACUGUGCACAUCUUGACGGUACCUAAUCAGAAAGCCACGGCUAACUACGUG
rnacentral:rRNA from 1 species